rnacentral:rRNA from 1 species
GACGAACGCUGGCGGCGUGCUUAACACAUGCAAGUCGAACGGAAAGGCCCUGCUUUUGUGGGGUGCUCGAGUGGCGAACGGGUGAGUAACACGUGAGUAACCUGCCCUUGACUUUGGGAUAACUUCAGGAAACUGGGGCUAAUACCGGAUAGGAGCUCCUGCUGCAUGGUGGGGGUUGGAAAGUUUCGGCGGUUGGGGAUGGACUCGCGGCUUAUCAGCUUGUUGGUGGGGUAGUGGCUUACCAAGGCUUUGACGGGUAGCCGGCCUGAGAGGGUGACCGGCCACAUUGGGACUGAGAUACGGCCCAGACUCCUACGGGAGGCAGCAGUGGGGAAUAUUGCACAAUGGACGGAAGCCUGAUGCAGCAACGCCGCGUGCGGGAUGACGGCCUUCGGGUUGUAAACCGCUUUCGCCUGUGACGAAGCGUGAGUGACGGUAAUGGGUAAAGAAGCACCGGCUAACUACGUG